rnacentral:rRNA from 2 species
UUGACCUCGAAUCAGGUAGGGAUACCCGCUGAACUUAAGCAUAUCAAUAAGCGGAGGAAAAGAAACCAACCGGGAUUACCUCAGUAACGGCGAGUGAAGCGGUAACAGCUCAAAUUUGAAAUCUGGCUCUUCCGGAGUCCGAGUUGUAAUUUGUAGAAGAUGCUUUGGGAGGUAGGGCCGGCCUAAGUUCCUUGGAACAGGACAUCAGAGAGGGUGAGAAUCCCGUAUGUGGCCGUGGCCUACGCCCGUGUAAAGCUCUUUCGACGAGUCGAGUUGUUUGGGAAUGCAGCUCAAAAUGGGUGGUAAAUUUCAUCUAAAGCUAAAUAUUGGCCAGAGACCGAUAGCGCACAAGUAGAGUGAUCGAAAGAUGAAAAGCACUUUGGAAAGAGAGUUAAACAGUACGUGAAAUUGUUGAAAGGGAAGCGCUUGCAACCAGACUUGGGCGUCGUCGAUCAUCCGGGGUUCUCCUCGGUGCACUCGACGAGGCACAGGCCAGCAUCGGUUUGGAUGGUUGGAGAAAGGCCCUAGGAACGUAGCUCUCUUCGGGGAGUGUUAUAGCCUAGAGCGCAAUGCAGCCCAUCCGGACCGAGGACCGCGCCUUUGGCUAGGAUGCUGGCGUAAUGGUUGCAAGCGACCCGUCUUGAAACACGGACCAAGGAGUCUAACAUCUAUGCGAGUGUUUGGGCGUUAAACCCAUACGCGGAAUGAAAGUGAACGUAGGUGAGAACCCGUCAGGGUGCAUCAUCGACCGAUCCUGAUGUCUUCGGAUGGAUUUGAGUACGAGCAUAGCUGUUGGGACCCGAAAGAUGGUGAACUAUGCCUGAAUAGGGUGAAGCCAGAGGAAACUCUGGUGGAGGCUCGCAGCGGUUCUGACGUGCAAAUCGAUCGUCAAAUUUGGGUAUAGGGGCGAAAGACUAAUCCGAACCAUCUAGUAGCUGGUUCCUGCCGAAGUUUCCCCUCAGGAUA